CGCAACGUGAGAAAGUUAUCCUGGACGAGCAGAGCAGAAGCUUGCUACAUCAUCUUUUAUCAGAAGAGGAUUCAUGAUCCAUUUCAAGGUUGCUCUGGACAGAGCGAGCUUUAAUCCUCCUUGAUAAUCUUGUUGAGAAAGGUACCCCUGGAGAUGACCACUUACAGCCUUCCAGUUAUCUUUUCUCCAUUGCUAAACUGGAUUGCUCAGGACAGGUAUUUUAUACCCACACACCAAAGAAACUUUUUGAAGUUUGGGGAGAUGCAUCACUGCGGACCCUCUCGUAUUGCAAAAAAAGAAGAGAGCCUUGGAUCUACCAGUUCAAGCAGACAUUU